rnacentral:rRNA from 1 species
UGAGGAAUAUUGGUCAAUGGGCGUAAGCCUGAACCAGCCAUCCCGCGUGCAGGAAGACGGCCCUAUGGGUUGUAAACUGCUUUUUCGCAUGAAGAACAUCCUUGACGUGUCAGGGACUGACGGUAAUGCGUGAAUAAGCACCGGCUAACUCCGUGCCAGUAGCCGCGGUAAUACGGAGGGUGCAAGCGUUAUCCGGAUUUAUUGGGUUUAAAGGGUGCGUAGGCGGCUUUUUAAGUCAGUGGUGAAAUCCUGCAGCUCAACUGUAGAACAGCCAUUGAAGCUGAAGAGCUUGAGUAAUCUUGAGGUAGGCGGAAUGUGUAGUGUAGCGGUGAAAUGCUUAGAUAUUACACAGAACACCGAUUGCGAAGGCAGCUUACUAAGGAUUUACUGACGCUGAUGCACGAAAGCGUGGGGAUCAAACA